rnacentral:rRNA from 1 species
UACGUAGGCAGCGAGCGUUGUUCGGAGUUACUGGGCGUAAAGGGUGUGUAGGCGGUUGCUUAAGUUUGGUGUGAAAUCUCCCGGCUCAACUGGGAGGGUGCGCCGAAUACUGAGUGACUCGAGUGCGGGAGAGGAGAGUGGAAUUCCUGGUGUAGCGGUGAAAUGCGUAGAUAUCAGGAGGAACACCGGUGGUGUAGACGGCUCUCUGGACCGUAAUUGACGCUGAGACACGAAAGCGUGGGUAGCAAACAGG